rnacentral:rRNA from 1 species
AUUGAACGCUGGCGGCAUGCUUUACACAUGCAAGUCGAACGGCAGCACGGGGCAACCUGGUGGCGAGUGGCGAACGGGUGAGUAAUAUAUCGGAACGUGCCCAAUCGUGGGGGAUAACGUAGCGAAAGUUACGCUAAUACCGCAUACGAUCUACGGAUGAAAGCGGGGGAUCGCAAGACCUCGCGCGAAUGGAGCGGCCGAUAUCAGAUUAGGUAGUUGGUGGGGUAAAGGCUCACCAAGCCAACGAUCUGUAGCUGGUCUGAGAGGACGACCAGCCACACUGGAACUGAGACACGGUCCAGACUCCUACGGGAGGCAGCAGUGGGGAAUUUUGGACAAUGGGCGCAAGCCUGAUCCAGCCAUUCCGCGUGCAGGAUGAAGGCCUUCGGGUUGUAAACUGCUUUUGUACGGAACGAAACGGUCUGCCCUAAUACGGCGGGCUAAUGACGGUACCGUAAGAAUAAGCACCGGCUAACUACGUG